rnacentral:rRNA from 1 species
CCUACGGGGGGCAGCAGUGGGGAAUAUUGGGCAAUGGUCGCAAGCCUGACCCAGCAACGCCGCGUGAAGGAAGAAGGCUUUCGGGUUGUAAACUUCUUUUGUCAGGGAAGAGUAGAAUACGGUACCUGACGAAUAAGCCACGGCUAACUACGUGCCAGCAGCCGCGGUAAUACGUAGGUGGCAGGUGUUGUCCGGAUUUACUGGGUGUAAAGGGCGUGUAGCCGGGUUGACAAGUCAGAUGUGAAAUCCUGCGGCUUAACCGCAGAACUGCAGUUGAACCCGUUGAUCUUGAGUACUGGAGAGGCCGACGGAAUGCGUAGUGUAGCGGUGAAAUGCGUAGAUAUUA